rnacentral:rRNA from 1 species
UACGGAGGGUGCAAGCGUUGUCCGGAAUCACUGGGCGUAAAGGGCGCGUAGGCGGCUCAUGAAGGCUGUGGUGAAAGUCCGGGGCUCAAACCUCGGAUCGGUGCCGUGGCGAACUCGUGGGCUGGAAGCACUGUAGAGGCGGGUGGAAUUCCGGGUGUAGCGGUGAAAUGCGCAGAUAUCGGAAGGAACACCAGUGGCGAAAGCGGAGCUUCCGUGUUCCCAGCACGGACCGUUAGGCA